rnacentral:rRNA from 1 species
CCCUUAGAUGUUCUGGACGGCCCGCGCACUACAAUGGCGUGUGCAGCGAGUGCCGAAGUAGAGUUUUCCGAGGUAUUCUUGCAAUGCUCGUUUUGAUGGGGAUAGACCCUUGCAACUGUUGGUUUUGAACGAGGAAUUCCUUGUAAGCAUGGUUUAUCAUCCGACGCUGAAUGCGUCCCUGCCCUUUGUACACACCGCCCGUCGCUCCUACCGAUGAGUCGUCCGGUGAAGUUCGUAGACCUCGUGAUCGCGGAUCACUGGGGGAAGCAAAAUGAACCUCGCGGUUUAGAGGAAGGAGAAGUCGUAACA